rnacentral:rRNA from 1 species
GACAGAGGGUGCAAACGUUGUUCGGAAUUACUGGGCGUAAAGCGUGUGUAGGCGGCCAUAUAAGUCGGAUGUGAAAGCCCUGGGCUCAACCCAGGAAGUGCACUCGAUACUGUGUGGCUUGAGUACUGGAGAGGUUGGUGGAAUUCUCGGUGUAGAGGUGAAAUUCGUAGAUAUCGAGAGGAACACCGGUGGCGAAGGCGGUUCUCUGGGCCGACACUGACACUGAGAGACGAAAGCUAGGGGAGCGAAUGGG